GACGAACCGAGCGAACGUUAUUCGGAAUCACUGGGCUUAAAGGGUGCGUAGGCGGCGCGGUAAGUAGGGUGUGAAAUCCCUCGGCUCAACCGAGGAACUGCGCUCUAAACUACCGUGCUUGAGGGAGGUAGAGGUGAGCGGAACUUAGGGUGGAGCGGUGAAAUGCGUUGAUAUCCUAAGGAACACCGGUGGCGAAAGCGGCUCACUGGAUCUCUUCUGACGCUGAGGCACGAAAGCUAGGGUAGCGAACGGG
rnacentral:rRNA from 1 species